GACGAACGCUGGCGGUGUGCUUAACACAUGCAAGUCGAACGGAAAGGCCCUGCUUUUGUGGGGUGCUCGAGUGGCGAACGGGUGAGUAACACGUGAGUAACCUGCCCUUGACUUUGGGAUAACUUCAGGAAACUGGGGCUAAUACCGGAUAGGAGCUCCUGCUGCAUGGUGGGGGUUGGAAAGUUUCGGCGGUUGGGGAUGGACUCGCGGCUUAUCAGCUUGUCGGUGGGGUAGUGGCUUACCAAGGCUUUGACGGGUAGCCGGCCUGAGAGGGUGACCGGCCACAUUGGGACUGAGAUACGGCCCAGACUCCUACGGGAGGCAGCAGUGGGGAAUAUUGCACAAUGGGCGGAAGCCUGAUGCAGCAACGCCGCGUGCGGGAUGACGGCCUUCGGGUUGUAAACCGCUUUCGCCUGUGACGAAGCGUGAGUGACGGUAAUGGGUAAAGAAGCACCGGCUAACUACGUG
rnacentral:rRNA from 1 species